rnacentral:rRNA from 1 species
CCUACGGGUGGCAGCAGUAGGGAAUCUUUCACAAUGGGCGAAAGCCUGAUGGAGCAACGCCGCGUGCAGGAUGAAGGCCUUCGGGUUGUAAACUGCUUUUAUAAGCGAGAAAUAUGAUGGUAACUUAUGAAUAAGGAUCGGCUAACUACGUGCCAGCAGCCGCGGUCAUACUUAGGAUCCGCGCAUUAUCCGGAGUGACUGGGUGUAAAGAGUUGCGUAGGGGGCAUAGUAAGUAGCUAGUGAAAUCUGGUGGCUCAACCGUUCAGACUAUUAGUUAAACUGUUAAGCUCGAGACCGUUAGGGGUAACUGGAAUUUGUAGUGUAGGGGUGAAAUCCGUAGAUAUUA